GGCUGGGCGGACCGGAGCCGCGGGUGGGGCCGGUCGCGGCACCCGGGCGGCG
rnacentral:rRNA from 1 species